ACUUGCUGGGGUCUGUCUUUUGUGGUACCUGGCAUUAUAAUAUCCUUAAUGGGGAUUAUAUGCUACCUGUUUCUUAUUGAACAUCCUAAGGAUGUAAACGAUACAGUCAAAUCAUCAACUAAACGUUACCUGAAAGGCUCAAGUAAAUUCAGGAUUUUGAAGCCAGCAGUAAGCAGUAAGGUAACAGAGACAU